UUAUACAUACCAGUAACUCUUCUGACUUCCUCAUGAAUACAAAGUUUAUCAAAGCUCUAAUUUUUGUUUCUCUAGUGGGAUAAUAUCUUAUUUACAUUUAUUUACACAAUUUUAUUGUCUCCUGAAUUUUGUAGUAGCUGUAGACUUGCAUACAUACCAAUGAAGAAACAGGUUUUAUACUUUGAAGAUAAAAGAAGUGUCAGCAUGCUUGGGAGGACAGAAUUACGAGGAAGCAUUCAGCUCACUUCUGCUCAGGCACUGCCAGAAUAACAACAGAAAAAGCUGUCAAAAAUAACCAAAAAAUCCUACCCAAGUACAGCAGGAUCCAAAACAUCUUCAGCUUUGAAUGGGAUGGUGGAGCCUCUAGGUGCUGUAGUGCAUCAGCACAUGAAAUCCGUGUGAGAAGGGGACAAGGACCUACAGCUCCAAACUCCAACUGCAUCUCUUCCACCUUCAAAAACAGUGGCCUUGUCCAAGGCUUAAAAGUCCAUGUGCAGAUUAAGUAAAAGGGACAUACAUCCUUUCAGUUCCUCCCAGCCAGUGAACUGCUUUGCCUUGAUGCACUAAAGGGACUGCAGAACAUGCAGAUGGACUGCACAGAAUCUUUCUGUCCCUGAGAGAAACACUAAUCCCGAUCAAUAGCAGGUUGAAUCUGAAGAUGACUGAACUUCUUCUGUGGAAGAAAUUUCUGGAUGAUAAACAUCUAUUGUAAACAAGACCCCUUCUGUAUGUUAACAGGCAUCCAUGUAGUUUCGUGUCUUUUUAAGACCAAAAAGUGGUGAUGGAAUGGGGAAAAGAAAAAUUAAUAAUGACCACAUGGGCCUGGUUCAACAGGAAAUAUACUUGGUGAAGAAACUCUGGAUCUGAAGUUGAGCUGCUGAAGUAACACCCAGUUAAUCAGCCCAGUGUGUGCUUAGAGGGAAUACAAUCCUGCAGGAAUGGAUGAGACCCAAAGCCCAUCUAAAUCAUCUCUAAAAGUGAUCAUAACCAGAUGCAUUACAAAAUGGCAUGUGAACACUGAAGUAGCUCUACAAAGCUGUAUUAACUCCUAACUGCCUAUGAUUAUCACAAUAUGUGAUGUAUGAACUACUAAAAGCACUAAUGGAAAAAAAUGUUUUUACAGAAAUGGGAUUGUAUAGGUUUCCUAUAUAGUUUUCUUGAUCAUAGCUUCUUAUGAGGUAACACUGUUUCUGGCACGGGGAUUGCAAGAAUUUGUCAAUGUUGUAUUUCAUUGAUUUUAAUGAAGAAAAUAGAAUAUGCAAAAACCUAAAAUGCAUGUUCAUCUUGUGGUUGACCUUAAGAGAGCUUU